CCGGGACACCAGCCUCUGGACCUCCUGACUGUAGGCGUCCAGACCUCCGGCAGCUUGAAGCUCAACCACCAGAGACAGGGAGGGAGACGGCUGCAUCCUGAAGGUGAUGCAUCCCAUCAGGCAGUGGGUGUCCAGGGUGUGGCAGCGGGCGGUGCCUUUCGGUGAGGUCAGAGAGGUCAUGUAGGUGUGUGUGCCUCUCGCCAUCGACCAGGUGACAUUUGUCAUGGCCUGAGUCACCUGUUCAACGUUAAAGGUUGCCGGGCAACAGGGUGCUAGAGGACGAAUGUUUCCAUGGUUCCCUACCUGUUUCCAGUGGAAUACUGUAGCUGGGAAAACUGUCGCCCACGGUGGUGGUUGCUAUGGCGCUGACCUCAUAGACCUUGCCACAGGGCAGGUCAAGUAUCUCACAGGACGUUCCUCUGGAAGUGCAGGUGUUUCUGUUGUCCUGGGCCACUACGCUCACUUUGUAGGUGGUACCUGCUCUGUUGGGAGUACUAAAGCUGACAUUGACACUGGUGGUGUUGAUCUGGGUCACAUUCAGGAUCUCUGGCAUACAGGGAGCUGAGAAAGAGAAAGUGAAGGAGAGAGGAAGUGGCAUGGGGAGGGUUAGCGUCACAGUGAUCUUUUACCUGUGGGUGUAAUGACACACAUGUUUUCCCAUUCAUCCAAAUAAACUGGUGAUAUGAUUAGUUAGCAGACACUUUUCUAUGUGGCAAUUUUUCUUAAAGAUGUUUGUGUUACCUGUCUCCUUAGUGUGUGAUCUGCAGGUGUGGUUGCACCCUCUAAUCUCAUUACAGGGGAUCACCACCACACUGUAGGGGCUGUUACAGGUGAGGUCGGAGAGAGCGCACACUGGUGCCGUGUCGUUACACAGGAUGACCUCUGACCCUUCCACCGCCCGCGUCUCGUACACCUCAGCCCCACGCACUGCUGACCACAUGAUCUCCAGGGUGCCGGGGGAGGCCAGUGAGAUGAACACGUCCUCGGGACAACAGGGUGGUGUAGUUGAGCACGGGGCCCGGUGGGCUGGAUCCAGCCAGGCUGAAGGCGAACACAGUCAUCAGGUGAUGAACUCCUCAGGGGCAGAAGGUAUGCUGGGUCCUCCCUCGUUGAUGGCUGUCACGGUGACGGUGUGUCUCUGGCCACACCCCACAGGGGCCAGGGUGCAGGUGCCGGUGGUAGAGGUACAGUUCAGCCCCUCUGAGCUGAAGGCCAGGUACUCCCCUGCCCCCUGAGAUGGAGCCCAGGACACAGACAGACCGGCCUCAGAGCCCACCAUCCUCACCUCCAACUCAGUGAGCACAGGGAUGCAUGGACCUGGAGGGUGGAGAGAGAAACAACAUGAGCACACACACAAUUAGACGGUGAAUGUGAAUGUGAGAUACAAGGGACAAUACCUGUCUUUGCUACCACAGGGAGGGAAGGCUGGCUCCUGCCUCCGCUGUUGAUGGACAUGACACUGAGAGUGUAGUCGGUGUAGGCCUGAAGGUUGAGCACGGUCCCAGGGGAAGAGGACACCUCGGUUUCGUAGAAGAAGGACAUGUCGGCGGUCUCGGCACGCAGGAUGUAGGAAGUGGCACCGGACACCUGAGUGAACUCCACGGUCAUGCUCUCACUCUGUUUUGAUGUUGCCAUGUUGAUGGUGGGCACCUCAGAAGCUACAGAAGGACAAAAAACAAGAAGAGGGAAUUGUUGAAACUCACGUAAGGAGAUACCCACAUGGAAAUGUAAGGAUUGUAACCAGUUACACCACAAUAAUCAUACCUGGUUUUAUUUUUCACUAUAAGCCCACUGUUAUAAUAUACUUUAUAUUUCUUAUGAGAGGUUGUCCCUUAACAUUGCUCUCUAGAUUUGAUAUAUUCCCUUAUAGCUCUGAUGAGAGAGAAAAACAGAACUGGCCCUGGAGCGGUGAUUAAUGACAGAUUGUUUACGAGAUCACAACAUAAUGUAUAGCCUAUUGUUUCACCAUCAUCUCCUUAGGGUCACAUAGGAGACACUGAUUUUACCGGUGGUCUCUUCUACUUCAGCCUGGCUCAAAACAUUCAGGCUGUUAUCCAUGGCCUCAGCCCUGAUGAUGUACAUGUUGUUGGGGGUUAGAGAGUUGAUGGAGCCCAUCACAGAGUUGGCACCGAACUGGGCGAAGGCUGAGGCAUCCAGGGAGUUCUUGGAGGUUGCUGUGAUCUUGUAGGAACUGGCUCCUGAGCAUCUGCUCCACUGCACUGUCAUACUCUUAGAUGUUACGGUGAAUAUCGACACUGUGAUUUCUAUAUGAGGUGAGAGAUAGAAUCACUGUCAAAUGCUGGGUUCAUGUCUGGAUCAAAUUAGAAAAUGUUAUAGCACUACUAUUGCAUACAUGUACUACAAUUACAUGAUCAUUCUAGUGUAAUAAUCAGGAUUCUUUUAAUCCACUUUCAUCCGACCAUUUUCUGCAGUUGAAAAAUAUAGACUGUUUAGGAAUGUACAUGUAUUGUGACAAAAAUAUAAAUGUUUUACCUGAUGAAGCUGAACUCUGGAAGUAAAAACAGAAAAGGAAGUAAAAACCGUUAAAAAAUAUAUAUAUAAUACUUUAAGGGAAUGUAAAACAAAUUAUAUUACACAAUGUUCAUACCAUGAGAGGUUUUAUGAAAUUCAAGCAAUCACUUUCCUGGAAUGAAUGUUCCCUACUCAAGGUUAAUCUUACAGUACACCUGAUGACAGGUAUGCCAGUCAAUAAGGCAGUGUUCCCUCUAGAUAGCUCAUUCCUUUUCCUCCAACAGACUAUUCAUGUUCUUUGAUGUUAUUGCAAUAGUAAUGUAUUUGAAAUAUAUGCUAUGUCCUACACAAAUAGCACAGGUAUAAAGAAUCAAAAGUAAUCCUUCUUACCUGAGAGCCUAUGCCUAUCAAGGCGAAAAUCACCAUCCAAUGAAUAAAUCCCAUUCUUUUUUUUCUUCUUGA